rnacentral:rRNA from 1 species
GUAGGUUACGUCAAGACUCACGGUUAUUAACCGUAGGCUUUUCUUCUCUACUGAAAGUGCUUUACAACCCGCAGGCCUUCUUCACACACGCGGCAUUGCUGGAUCAGGCUUGCGCCCAUUGUCCAAUAUUCCC